rnacentral:rRNA from 1 species
UACGUAGGGUGCGAGCGUUGUCCGGAAUUACUGGGCGUAAAGAGCUCGUAGGUGGUUUGUCGCGUUGUUCGUGAAAUCUCACGGCUUAACUGUGAGCGUGCGGGCGAUACGGGCAGACUGGAGUACUGCAGGGGAGACUGGAAUUCCUGGUGUAGCGGUGGAAUGCGCAGAUAUCAGGAGGAACACCGGUGGCGAAGGCGGCACUCUGGGCCGAUUCUGACACUGAGGAGCGAAAGCGUGGGGAGCGAACAGG